UGCGUAACGCGUGGGAAUUUACCUAGUAGUGGGGGAUAACUCGAAGAAAUUCGAGCUAAUACCGCAUAAUCACUAAGGUGUAAAGGGGGCCUCUUCUUGAAAGCUCUCGCUAUUAGAUGAGCCCGCGUCGGAUUAGCUUGUUGGUGGGGUAAAGGCCUACCAAGGCGACGAUCCGUAGCUGGUCUGAGAGGAUGAUCAGCCACACUGGGACUGAGACACGGCCCAGACUCC
rnacentral:rRNA from 1 species